UCUGGUCUCUAGAGCGAGGUGGUACCAACUCUUCCCAUCCCGAACAGAGUCUUGAAACGCCUCAGCGCUGACAAUAGUUUUCCCUUGUUGGAAAGCGAAGAUAGGUCGAGGCCAGAA
rfam:Microgenomates (Pacebacteria) bacterium GW2011_GWA1_46_10 TX28_C0001, whole genome shotgun sequence.